CCAAUGACAAGAUUGCAAAAUGUGUGAACCAGAAGACAUAGCCAGGACAGGAGCGUGAGCACGCGAGCAAGUGUUUUCUCCCUACCGGAAAUCUGAUGGGCUUAUGACAUCAUGGCUGGCUGCUGAGCGAUGGAGUGGAUGCCACAAAGAAAUCCGACAUAUCCGAUGGAUUCAGAAACCACUUUCCCUCCUGCGGCUGGAGGAACAGGCAUGUGCAGGCAGGAGAACCUGAGCUUUGUUUGAAAAAUUAUU